rnacentral:rRNA from 1 species
AACGAACGCUGGCGGCAGGCCUAACACAUGCAAGUCGAGCGAGGACUUCGGUCCUAGCGGCGGACGGGUGAGUAACGCGUGGGAACGUGCCCUUUGGUUCGGAAUAGCCCUGGGAAAGUGGGAGUAAUACCGGGUGAGCUCUUUGGGGGAAAGAUGUAUCGGCGAAGGAUCGGCCCGCGUUAGAUUAGGUAGUUGGUGGGGUAAUGGCCUACCAAGCCGACGAUCCAUAGCUGGUGUGAGAGGAUGAUCAGGCACACUGGGACUGAGACACGGCCCAGACUCCCACGGGUGGCAGCAGGGGGGACUCUUCGACACUGGGGGAAUCCAUGAUCUAUCCAUGCCGUGUGAGUGUGUAAGGCCUUAGGGUUGUAAAGCUCUUUGAGCAGGGAAGAUAAUGACGGUACCAGCAGAAGAAGCCCCGGCUAACUCCGUG